UGGCGAAACGGCCCCCUCCUCGUAGAGGGGGCGUCGUCCCGGAGUGGUGUCCGGGGCCUGAUGAGCCAGCCGCUC
rnacentral:hammerhead_ribozyme from 1 species